CCUACGGGGGGCAGCAGUGAGGAAUAUUGGUCAAUGGACGGAAGCCUGAACCAGCCAUGCCGCGUGCAGGAAGACGGCUCUAUGAGUUGUAAACUGCUUUUGUACAAGGGUAAACCUGAAUACGUGUAUUCAGCUGAAAGUACUGUACGAAUAAGGAUCGGCUAACUCCGUGCCAGCAGCCGCGGUAAUACGGAGGAUGCGAGCGUUAUCGGGAUUUAUUGGGUUUAAAGGGUGCGCAGGCGGAUUUUUAAGUCAGCGGUCAAAUCGUGGGGCUAAACCCCAUCCAGCCGUUGAAACUGGGGUUCUUGAGUGUGCGAGAGGUAUGCGGAAUGCGUGGUGUAGCGGUGAAAUGCAUAGAUAUCACGCAGAACCCCGAUUGCGAAGGCAGCAUACCGGUGCACAACUGACGCUCAGGCACGAAAGCGUGGGUAUCGAACAGGAUUAGAUACCCCUGUAGUC
rnacentral:rRNA from 1 species